rnacentral:ribozyme from 1 species
UAAAAGAAAUGGGCGUUGUUUUUUUCUUCUUUUUCUGGUUCGAAAUUUGGGAAGAAAGAAAGAAAGAAAGAAAAAGGU